rnacentral:rRNA from 1 species
UGGGGAAUUUUGGACAAUGGGCGAAAGCCUGAUCCAGCAAUGCCGCGUGUGUGAAGAAGGCCUUCGGGUUGUAAAGCACUUUUGUCCGGAAAGAAAUCCUUGGCUCUAAUACAGUCGGGGGAUGACGGUACCGGAAGAAUAAGCACCGGCUAACUACGUGCCAGCAGCCGCGGUAAUACGUAGGGUGCAAGCGUUAAUCGGAAUUACUGGGCGUAAAGCGUGCGCAGGCGGUUUGCUAAGACCGAUGUGAAAUCCCCGGGCUCAACCUGGGAACUGCAUUGGUGACUGGCAGGCUAGAGUAUGGCAGAGGGGGGUAGAAUUCCACGUGUAGCAGUGAAAUGCGUAGAGAUGUGGAGGAAUACCGAUGGCGAAGGCAGCCCCCUGGGCCAAUACUGACGCUCAUGCACGAAAGCGUGGGGAGCAAACAGGAUUAGAUACCCUGGUAGUCCCACGCCCUAAACGAUGUCAACUAGUUUGUUGGGGGAUUCAUUUCCUUAGUAACGUAGCUAACGCGUGAAGUUGACCGCC